UUCGGAUUGCAGGCUGCAACUCGCCUGCAUGAAGCUGGAAUCGCUAGUAAUCGCGGGUCAGCAUACCGCGGUGAAUGUGUUCCUGAGCCUUGUACACACCGCCCGUCAAGCCACGAAAGUGGGGGGCAUCCGAAGUCGCUGAGGUAACCGCAAGGAGCCAGGCGCCUAAGAUGAACUCUGCAAUUGGGACUAAGUCGUAACAAGGUAGCCGUAGGGGAACCUGCGGCUGGAUCACCUCCUUUCUAA
rnacentral:rRNA from 1 species